GACGAACGCUGGCGGCGUGCUUAACACAUGCAAGUCGAACGGAAAGGCCCUGCUUUUGUGGGGUGCUCGAGUGGCGAACGGGUGAGUAACACGUGAGUAACCUGCCCUUGACUUUGGGAUAACUUCAGGAAACUGGGGCUAUACCGGAUAGGAGCUCCUGCUGCAUGGUGGGGGGUGGAAAGUUUCGGCGGUUGGGGAUGGACUCGCGGCUUAUCAGCUUGUUGGUGGGGUAGUGGCUUACCAAGGCUUUGACGGGUAGCCGGCCUGAGAGGGUGACCGGCCACAUUGGGACUGAGAUACGGCCCAGACUCCUACGGGAGGCAGCAGUGGGGAAUAUUGCACAAUGGGCGGAAGCCUGAUGCAGCAACGCCGCGUGCGGGAUGACGGCCUUCGGGUUGUAAACCGCUUUCGCCUGUGACGAAGCGUGAGUGACGGUAAUGGGUAAAGAAGCACCGGCUAACUACGUG
rnacentral:rRNA from 1 species